rnacentral:rRNA from 1 species
CCUACGGGUGGCGGCAGUGGGGAAUAUUGGGCAAUGGAGGAAACUCUGACCCAGCAACGCCGCGUGAAUGAUGAAGGUCUUCGGUUUGUAAAGUUCUUUUCUAAGGGAAGAAGAAAGUGACGGUACCUUAGGAAUAAGCCUCGGCUAACUACGUGCCAGCAGCCGCUGUAAUCCGGAGGAGGCGGGCGUUAUCCGGAAGGACUGGGCGUAAAGGGUGCGUAGGUGGGUUGGCAAGUUAGUAGCGUAACUCCCAGGCUCAACCUUGGAACUACUACUAAAACUGGUGGUCUUGAGUGCAGGAGGGGCAACCGGAAUGCGUAGUGUAGCGGUGGAAUGCGUAGAUAUCAGGAGGAACACCAGUGGCGAAGGCAGGUUGCUAGACUGUAACUGACACUGAGGCACGAAAGCGUGGGGAGCAAACAGGAUUAGAUACCCCUGUAGUC